rnacentral:rRNA from 1 species
UACGGAGGGGGCUAGCGUUGUUCGGAAUUACUGGGCGUAAAGCGCACGUAGGCGGCUUUGCAAGUCAGAGGUGAAGACCGGGCCGGCACCCGAAUCGAGCUUUGAGACUGCAUCGCUAGAAUUGUGGAGAGGUAAGUGGAAUUCCGAGUGUAGAGGUGAAAAUUCGUAGAUAUUCGGAAGAACACCAGUGGCGAAGGCGACUUACUGGACACAUAUUGACGCUGAGGUGCGAAAGCGUGGGGAGCAAACAGG